rnacentral:rRNA from 1 species
CGGUAAUUCCAGCUCCAAUAGCGUAUACUAAAGUUGUUGCAGUUAAAAAGCUCGUAGUUGGAUUUCUGCGGGGACGGAGCGGCCGGACGCAACUUGCGUCUCGAGCUAGCGCUUUCCCCGCAUCCUGCCGCGAACCGUGCUACCAUUAGCUUGGUGGCGCUGGGGAUCGGCUCGAUUACUUUGAGAAAAAUAGAGUGUUCAAAGCAGGCCACACGCCUUGAAUAAGUUAGCAUGGAAUAAUGACUAAGGACUUUGGUUCUUUUCGUUGGUGUUCGGGACUGAAGUAAUGAUUGAUAGGGACAGUUGGGGCGGUCUGUAUUCCAAAGCGAGAGGUGAAAUUCUUAGACCUUCGGAAGACAAACAGCUGCGAAAGCGUUCCGCAAGGAUGUUCCCUUUGAUCAAGAACGAAAGUUGGGGGAUCGAAGACGAUCAGAUACCGUCGUAGUCUCAACUAUAAACUAUACCAGCUAGGGAUCGGCCAACGUUUAAUUAUUCGACUUGGUCGGCACCUUAUGAGAAAUCAAAGCAUCUGGGUUCCGGGGGGAGUAUGGUCGCAAGGCUGAAACUUAAAGGAAUUGACGGAAGGGCACCACCAGGCGUGGAGCCUGUGGCUUAAUUUGACUCAACACGGGAAAACUUACCAGGUCCAGACAUAGUAAGGAUUGACAGAUUGAUAGCUCUUUCUUGAUUCUGUGGGUGGUGGUGCAUGGCCGUUCUUAGUUGGUGGAGUGAUUUGUCUGGUUAAUUCCGUUAACGAACGAGACCCCAGCCUGCUAAAUAGCGCGGUUGAGCUUUGCUCGAUGCGAGCUUCUUAGAGGGACUAUGAUGCGCGAUAGCACAUGGAAGUUUGGGGCAAUAACAGGUCUGUGAUGCCCUUAGAUGUUCUGGGCCGCACACGGGCUACACUGGCGCCUGCAACGAGCAUAUCAGCUGGCCCGAGAGGGCCUUGGCUAAUCUUUUGAACCUGCGCCGUGCUUGGGAUUGACCUUUGCAAUUGUUGGUCAUGCAACGAGGAAUACCUUGUAAACGCGAGUCAUCAGCUCGCAUUGAAUACGUCCCUGCCCUUUGUACACACCGCCCGUCGCUCCUACCGAUGAAUGUUCCGAUGAAAUUUUCGGAGAGCGCCAGAGAACGGGGCUCCGCCUUGCAGAUCUGGAGGCUCAAAGUCACUUAAAUCUGAACAUUUCGAGGAAGGAGAAGUCGUAACAAGGUAGCCG